UUUGCGCGAGACUAAACCAGCCUAACGAGCCUAUUACGUUCGCAAAACCGCUCCCGUUUUGAUGAUGGACCUAUUCAUUCGCGCCGCAUUUAAAACGAAGAAGUCACUGACCCAAAGACAGAAAACUGAAGGAUUUUGAGGUUGUAUUGAAUGUGAGGGUUUUUUUUUUGGAGACUACCGGACAAUGGGUGAAGAGUCGAAGUCGAGUGGCGGCACGAGGCCCCAUUACAAGCAAGAAACCGACGGGAUCGCGCAUAUAAUGGUCUUCGGAGAGCCAUUAGCGUUGUGCAAAAGCGCCGUUGCACACGAGUCAAUGGUAAAAAUGGGGGGGCGCGUUAUCGCUCAUUGGGCCCCAAUGGGGAUUGGUUUUGUUACGAUUAUCUGUGCGACGCGAUCUUUAAAAGGAUUUUCUACAACGGACGAUGUUUGAUUAUAAAAGCUUUAUUUUUGAUCUUUUAAUGAUCUUUGGUUUAAAUCAAAUAUUUAUAUUUUGAUUUUUUAUAAGUAUACGAAUAAAGAGAUUUCAAUUUUA